rnacentral:misc_RNA from 1 species
GUGAGUCAUCGAAUCUUUGAACGCACAUUGCGCCCGCCAGUAUUCUGGCGGGCAUGCCUGUUCGAGCGUCAUUUCAACCCUCAAACCCCCGGGUUUGGUGUUGGAGAUCGACAUGAAGCCCUUCUGGGUGUGAAGUCGUCUCCCAAAUAUAGUGGCGGUCUCGCUGUAGCUUCCUAUGCGUAGUAGCACACCUCGCACUGGAAAGCAGCAAGCCCACGCCGUUAAACCCCCCACUUUCUGAGUUUGACCUCGAAUCAGGUAGGAUUACCCGCUGAACUUAAGCAUAUCAAUAAGCGGAGGA